rnacentral:rRNA from 1 species
GAUCAGCCGGUCUCCGAAUGCANUAGAUUUUAGUUUGAUCAUGGCUCAGAAUCACGCUGGUGGCGUGCCUAACACAUGCAAGUCGAGCGAGAAAAGGGGAGCAAUCUCCUGAGUACAGCGGCGCACGGGUGAGUAACACGUGGGUAAUCUGCCCUGGAGUGGGGAAUAACACCGGGAAACCGGUGCUAAUUCCGCAUACGAUCACGAGGUCUGCGGAUUUUGUGAUGAGAGGAGCAAUUCGCUCUAGGAGGAGCCCGCGGCUGAUUAGCUAGUUGGUGAGGUAAUGGCUCACCAAGGCAACGAUCAGUAUCCGGUCUGAGAGGACGGUCGGACACACUGGAACUGAGACACGGUCCAGACUCCUACGGGAGGCAGCAGUGGGGAAUUUUUGGCAAUGGGGGCAACCCUGACCAAGCAACGCCGCGUGGGUGAUGAAGUCUCUUGGGACGUAAAACCCUUUCGACGGGGACGAAGCCGCAAGGUUGACGGUACCCGUAGAAGAAGCCCCGGCUAACUCCGUGCCAGCAGCCGCGGUAAUACGGGGGGGGGCGAGCGUUGUUCGCGAAUUACUGGGGCCGUAAAGGCGCCGUAAAGCCGGUCACGCCUAACAGUUGGAUUGUUGAAAACUCUUNGGCUCAAACCCCAUGAACUGCAUUCAAAAACUGGCGGGCUAAAGUUCCUGGAAGCGGGGGUAGCCGGGAAAUUCCGGUGUACCGGGAAAUGCGUUAAANUUUCCACGCAGGAACACCGGUGGCGAAAGGCGGCNACCCUGGACAGAAAACGACGCUAAGGCAAAAGCAGGGAGGCAACCGGANUANCACUACCCCNGUGCUCACCCUAAAANGANAGCGGGUCCAUCUCGGAGNAACACCGUGAAUNGAGANAAAC